CCUACGGGUGGCAGCAGUGAGGAAUAUUGGUCAAUGGGCGCGAGCCUGAACCAGCCAAGUCGCGUGAGGGAAGACGGUCCUAUGGAUUGUAAACCUCUUUUGUCGGGGAGCAAAAGACGCCACGCGUGGCGGUCCGAGAGUACCCGAAGAAAACGCAUCCGCCAACUCCGUGCCAGCAGCCGCGGUAAUACGGGGGAUGCGAGCGUUAUCCGGAUUUAGUGGGUUUAAAGGGUGCGCAGGAGGAAGAUCAAGUCAGCGGUAAAAUUGAGAGGCUCAACCUCUUCGAGCCGUUGAAACUGGUUUUCUUGAGUUAGCGAGAAGUAUGCGGAAUGCGUGGUGUAGCGGUGAAAUGCAUAGAUAUCACGCAGAACUCCGAUUGCGAAGGCAGCAUACUGGCGCUCAACUGACGCUCAUGCACGAAAGUGUGGGUAUCGAACAGGAUUAGAUACCCCUGUAGUC
rnacentral:rRNA from 1 species